rnacentral:lncRNA from 11 species
GAGGGCGGCGCUGAUUGGCCGCGGCGGAGGAGGCAGGCAGGGAGUUUCCCACAAUGCCCCUCUGUAGCCAGUGCGGCCGCCGCCGAGGGAUGCUGCUGCUGCUGCGGGAAGGCGCCGCCUGCCAUUUGCCGCCUUCGCCGCCUUCGCCUUUGCUUAGACUCCUGGCGCGGCGGAGAGAGAAGCGCGCCCUCCGCUCUCCUCGCCUCCUUCGCCCCGAGGCGUCCUCCCCGUGAGUCGCUGUCCCUUCAGCACCACCAUGAACCCGCCUCCGUCCGCCGGCGAGGAGAAAGGCGCCGCCGGGGGAGGAGGCAACGGGGGCGCCUCUUGCCGGGGAGCCGAGGGCGGCGGGGAGACCAAGGAGCCCGAGGAGCAGCAGCCGCAGCCGCAGCAGCCCUUGGCCCCGCCGCCCGGGCAGAAGGAAGAGUCCCUGGAAGAGAAGCUGAAGAGUUUAACCUUCAGGAAGCAGGUGUCCUACAGGAAAGCCAUCUCCAGAUCUGGCCUUCAACAUUUGGCUCCUGUUCAAAACCUCAAUAACGCCAUCACGAAUGGACCAGUGAAGGAGUCAAGAAUGGCGCUAGAAUGGACUGAAAAUGCAGUGAAUGGUGAGCAUCUCUGGUUGGAGACAAAUGUUUCUGGGGACUUGUGUUACCUUGGCGAGGAAAGUUGCCAAGUCAAAUUCUCUAAAUCAGCUCUUCGAAGAAAAUGUGCUGCUUGUAAAAUAGUAGUCCACAAUGCCUGCAUGGAACAGCUAGAAAAGGUAAGAUGAUGCCAUCUACUGGAGUAUUUAUACUGAGGAACAUUUUGUAAAUGUCAUGGAGAGUUCCUUUUAAGGUUUCUCCUUUAUCAUGUAAUCCUGGGCUCUUGUCAUGUACCUUAAUCCCUCUUCCAAAUCUUUCCUUGGAUUUAUUGUGGGAAUUCGAAGGUGGCUUGAAAUAUGAAUUAGUGACUUUGUUCUUCAAACUUCUUGUCUGCACAUGGAUGACAUUCAAAGUGUCUAGGGACUGAAAGACUGGAGGCAUUAACGUCAACAACAAUGGACAGCUUUUUUUCAUUAAAGGGCUUCUUGAUAAC